rnacentral:rRNA from 1 species
CCUACGGGGGGCAGCAGUAGGGAAUCUUCCACAAUGGGCGAAAGCCUGAUGGAGCAACGCCGCGUGGGUGAAGAAGGUCUUCGGAUCGUAAAACCCUGUUGUUAGAGAAGAAAGUGCGUGAGAGUAACUGUUCACGUGUCGACGGUAUCGAACCAGAAAGCCACGGCUAACGCCGUGCCAGCAGCCGCGGUAAUACGUAGGGGGCAAGCGUUAUCCGGAGUGAGUGGGCGUAAAGGGAACGCAGGCGGUCUUUUAAGUCUGAUGUCAAAGCCUUCGGCUGAACCGGAGUAGUGCAUGUGAAACUGGGAGACUUGAGUGCAGAAGAGGUGAGUGGAACUCCAUGUGUAGCGGU